rnacentral:misc_RNA from 1 species
GAUGAAGAACGUAGCGAAAUGCGAUACGUAAUGUGAAUUGCAGAAUUCAGUGAAUCAUCGAAUCUUUGAACGCAUAUUGCACUCUCUGGUAUUCCGGAGAGCAUGCUUGUUUGAGUAUCAGUAAACACCUCAACUCCCUUUUCUUUUUUGAAAUUGGAGCUGGACUUGAGUGAUCCCAACGCUUUCUUCCAAGAAAGUGGCGGGUUGCUUGAAAUUCAGGUGCAGCUGAACUUUUCUCUGAGCUAUAAGCAUAUCUAUUUAGUCUGCCUAAAAAACAGAUUAUUACCUUUGCUGCAGCUAACAUAAAGGAGACUAGUUCUUGUGCUGACUGAUGCAGGAUUCACAGAGACAGCUUCGGCUGACUUUGUAAACUCGAUCUCAAAUCAAGUAAGACUACCCGCUGAACUUAAGCAUAUCAAUAAGCGGAGGA